GACGAACGCUGGCGGCGUGCCUAAUACAUGCAAGUCGAGCGAAGCGGCGGUUGGGUGAGUAACGCGUGGUUAACCUGCCCUUCUGUCUGGGAUACCAUUUGGUAACCGAUGCUAAUACCGGAUCCUUAAGGAUUGACUUGCGAUGCAUUGGCUAGUUGGUAAGGUAACGGCUUACCAAGGCGAUGAUGCCUAGCCGGGGUGAGAGACUGAUCGGCCACAAUGGGACUGAGACACGGCCCAAACUCCUACGGGAGGCAGCAGUAGGGAAUCUUGCACAAUGGACGAAAGUCUGAUGGAGCAACGCCGCGUGAAUGAAGAAGGUUUUCGGAUCGUAAAGUUCUGUUGUUGGUGAGGCGGUAAUCAACCAGAAAGUCACGGCUAACUACGUGCCAGCCGCCGCGAUAAUUC
rnacentral:rRNA from 1 species